AUUUACAAAAAUAAAUGCUGUUUAGAUUUGUUUAUAUAUAUAUAUAUAUAUAUAUAUAUAUAUAUAUUGGCUUUAAAAAAAAGGGUAAACGUAUUACACAAUGGUGGUAGAAACAAAACGGCUGCAUAGAAUUGACAUAAUUUGUAUCAUAUAUAUUUUAUAUCUAAAUAGAAAUAAUAAUUUUCUCAAAUAUAUGCAUGCAUUUGUGUAUUUAUAUAUAAUAAAUAAACACAGUACACACAUAUAUAUUAUGUCAAAACAAACUUUUAUUUUGGAUUAAUCCCGAUUCAUUUUUGCCCAGCACUAAGAAAAAAUCAUGAAAAUAGUAUAUAUAUAUAAUUUAUUUAAUUUA
ensembl:processed_transcript